AUAUGGCCGAUCCAAAUGGGUUCGUUCAUCUUUAUAUUAGUUCCCAAUUUCACCCGGCCGAAAUUUAAAAUCAAUUUAAUGGAGCAGUCUCUCUAUUUUUAUGAUUCUCUACAUGU